GGAUCGAUGAUGACUUAAAAAAAAUAAAGAAACCUUGGAAAUCUGAACAAAAUGAGUGACUACCCUGAGCUGAGGUCC
ensembl:snoRNA SNORD116 Small nucleolar RNA SNORD116